CAAACCCAUCCAAGACCACCCCUUAAACCUGCCCAACACCCAAGACCCGACCCAUUUCCCCACCUAAAAUUCUAACCUAGACCUAGAACACAUGAUACAACUUCAGCCGCAACACACACGACCCACCCACCCCAAUCAUCAUCUUCUUCGACACACCCAGCCCCAACGCCCACUGCCCCGCCAAAGACACCCAAGGAACCACGCUGCUGCUUCUCCUUCCCCAAGCGACCCCCUUCCCCAAGCGACACCCCCCCGCUCGUUUUCUUCUUCGAACCCGUCCAAACAAACCAGUUACAACCACCAAACGACCCCCCUGACCUUCACCCAAACGACCCCAUCACUGUCAGUCCUCCACGCCUGAGCCGCGUCGACCAGCUUCUGCCCGUUCUUCUCCAACCCAUCGUCUUCCCCAGCGGAACCACUCAUGGUAACAACCACCAUGAUAGCCCCCUUCCCCGACGUCCAAACCCCUACCCACGUCCACACACACACACACACAUAUAUAUAUAUAUAGUUGGUCGUGGAUUCGUCGAGGUCGUUGUUGAGAUUCUGGGCAGAUUCGAGUUAUUUUUGGUUUCAAAAUUUCCGGGCAAAUUUGUGUCCGUUUGAGUUCGUCGCUGUUCCGAUCCGGUUAGUUGGGUUAAGUUUCAUUCUGUCUGUAUUUUGUUUAAUAUUCUCGGAUCUAAAAUCAGUAUAUGUUUGAUUAUUUUCUUGUUCAUUUCUUGAUUAUGUCUUUAGUUUGUUUGAUUCAUUUGUUUUUGUUUAGUUUUAAUAUCGAAAUGUUUUAGUUUAAUCAUUUGAAUCAUUUAUCUUGAUUAUAAUGUUGUUAGAUUAAAUUUAAAGUUCAAUUGAUUAUUGAGUUUAGUGAUUUGAAUCUGUUUUAUUGUUAUGUUAAGUCUAAAUUUGGAUCUAAGUUAGAGAUUUGAAUUUAUUUGUUUGAUCUGUUAAGUUUAAUUUUAAUCCGAGCUUAAUGAUUUGAAUUUACUCGUUUGUGAUAGUUGUUGAAUUUGAAAGUGUGUUUGUUGUUAAAAAUGUUGUUGGUUUUUGUUUGUAAUUAUUGGUAAAUAUGAAAGUAUGUUUAUUGUUAAAAAUAUUGUUCAUCCAAAAUAAUUUUUGUUGGUUAUUUGUUGUCAUCACUUAGUUUGAAUUUGUUGGUUAAAUUUGAUUAAUAAUUGGUUAUAGCUGCUAUAUUUUGGUUAAUUGAUUUAGGUAAAUUGGUUAUAGCUGAUAGGGGUAGAAAUAAUAAUUUUCAGUAAUUUCGGGGGUAUUUUUGGAAUUUAAUAUUUGGACAAUUAUUUAAUUUAAGUGCUAUGUCGACUAGAUUAAAGUAUUAUUAAAGUAAUAUAGUGGGGGACAAGACAUAUUGAUUUAAAGUAAAAGGGGUUAUAAUGUGAUCUUCUUUGACCACUGAAAAGGGGGGACUGUGAGACCCGUUUUGACUACUUUUUGCUUAAUUAAAAUGAGAAAUAGUAUAGGUAAUAAUAAAAGUUUAAAAUGUCACAUAGUUAAAGGAAUAUGAGCUGGAAAGUAAAAGAGGUAAAAUGGUUAGUAAUAAUAGUUUAAAAGUAAAAGUUAAUAGUUAAAAGAAUAAAAGGAAAUAGUCUUGCUUUGUAUAUAAUAGGACUCAUUUAACACUUAAGAGGGGACUGAAUUUAGAGAGAAAAAUAUUUUCAGUACUAGAGGGAAGAAAGAAAAAAAACUUUUGAAUCUUAAGAAUUUUUGAGUGUUUGAAAGUUAGAAAUAAAGAAAAAAAAUAUGUUCUUCUUCACUGUUAACAAUUGGCAUCAACUGUUAUUGUUCAUUAAAGAUUCAAGCUUCUUUUUCUUUACUGAUAAAAAUUAGAAGUUAUUUUUUGGCAACUGGAUACUUCUUUGUUUGUCUGGUCCGUUUUUAGUAUUACUGGUAUUCAAGUAUAGUUUUUUGGGUUUAUUCUUGGUUGGUUUUACAAUUUGAAAGUUCUUGGUUUCUUGCUUGGUUGCAAUCUCCUGGGUUUUCUGCUAUUCCCGGUGUUACUGGGUUACUCCUGUGUCGUUGAACUGCUGUUGUUGUGUGUGUGCUGUUAUUGCUUCCUACUGAUCUUCAUCUUCUUUGUAUUCCAAUACCAGGUACACCACUUUGAAUCACUUUGAUGUACGCCUUGAAGAUGAAAUGAAAUGGCAGAAACUUAUGUACUUAUUUAUAGUACAUUUGUACUUUAGUUAAACAUUAAUUAUAUAUUUUCCUUCUAUACGAAUGAUAGAGGUAGUCGAUACGGUAUUUUUGCUUAAUUUGAGCAAGUUGUUAGAUUAUUGAAUUAUAGGACGUAUGGUUGCAAGAAUUGCAU
rnacentral:lncRNA from 1 species